AUGUGGAAGACCGGGAUCUUCCUGCUGCUGUGGGUGUUCCUGGCGUCCGGAGAGCUCCAGCAGGAGACGGAGCCCCGGAGACUCCCUCCGCCGGGGAAGUUGGACUUCGGUUAUGUGCCUGCGGGAGUUUACGAGACCCUGGCCCACUACGAACCGGGACCCAUAGGGAUCCUGUUCCACAUGGUGCGCACCUUUCUCUGUGCGGUGCAGCCCAACGCGUUCCCGCAAGAUCUGAUUGUCAAACUGGCAAAAGACAAGUUUGGAGCCAUUCAGACGGAAUACCAAAAGGCCAUCUACUACGAGCUAGGCUUCCUAAUAUGUGCGGCGGUCGGCCUGCUGUUCGCCGUUCUGGUGCCGUUAAGCGGCCUCUUCUUCUGCAUGUGCCGCUGCUGUGACAACUGCGGCGGCGAGAUGCACCAGCGCCAGAGGAAGAACGCAGAUUGCCGGCGUGGCCUGCUGGGAACGCUGCUCUUCGCCACCUCACUGCUCAUCACGAUGGGAGUGCUGUGUGCAUACGCUGCCAACCAGAACCUGAGCUCUCAGGUGAAGAACAUACGGAGGUUGGUCAACAGCAACAUGAGGGACCUGCACACCUUCGCCAAUGACACGCCGAUGCAAAUUGAUUACCUAAUAUCCCAAUACGCCACUGCCAAGAACAAAGUCAUCUAUGACCUAGAUAAUAUAGGUCCGUUAUUGGGUGGAAGGAUACACGAUCAGUUGGAUAAGGAGGUCCGUCCUGCCUUGGACAGAGUGCUCAAUAUUGCUGGAGCCAUGCGAGAAACCAAGGAGGCCCUGGAGAACGUCGGUGUGGCUCUGGAGGUUCUCCAGGAAGGAACAGGGAAGCUCAACUUCAACCUGAGUGUGGUCCGGACCAGCAUCAACCGCACGCUCAACGACCCCGGCUGUCAUGACGAGAAGUCAGACGCCACCUCGGCCCAGCUGUGCCGCAACAUCCGCCAGUCGCUGUCCCAGCUGCAGAUCGGCGCAAACUACACACGGCUACCCAAGGUGACUGCUCAGCUGGAAAAAGUGAACGACGUACUGAGAACGGACCUCAGUGCUAUCGUCCAGAGGGGCUACGCCUCUGUAAACGACACGCCACAUAUGGUGGUGGAACAGACCAGAAGUGUUGUGGAGAGUGUACGGGGUUUGGUGGACGGCAUUGGCAAUAACAUUAGCAGCUUUUCCAAGGUAUUCCCUGUGCAGAGUUCCCUUUCCAACUUCACCAUCUUCAUUAGCCACGCCCAUGCCAAGAUUGAGGACCACUACCCUGAAAUUGACAAGAUGGACUUCUACAGGUGGAUUGGCUGCAUUGCUCUUUGCUGCAUGGUGGUCCUUGUCCUGGCCUUUAACUACCUGGGCCUGCUGUGUGGCACGCUGGGAUACGACAAGCACGCCUCGCCUACGACGCGAGGCUGCAUCUCCAACACAGGAGGAACGAUGCUCAUGGCCGGCGUUGGAUUUACCGUCAUCUUCUCCUGGGUGCUGAUGGGAGUGGUGACCAUCAUCUUCCUGGCUGGAGGAAACAUGGAGAAACUUUUUUGUGAACCUUUCCACACCAAAGAAGUCUUCAAGGUUGUGGACACCCCGUAUCUUGUCAACCCAGACUGGAAGAACUUCAUCCCUGGCUACAUGUACAACGACUCCGACCUGGAGCUGACGUCAGAGAGCUUGUACAGCACGUGCAAAGAGAACAAAGGCAUCUACUCGGCCAUGCGACUGGACAAAGUCUUCAACAUCUCAUUGUUCCUGAACACAACAGUGUUUACUAAGGAUGUGGUGAGUCAGCUGGACAGCGUCAAGAUCGACCUGAGGGGAAUAAUCCUGUUAGAGGCAGAGGGGAAACAGAACCUCAUGGAUUUUUCUGAAGCAGGGCUGUCAGAAAUCAACUACGCAGACUACCUGGAAGAGGUCAACAAAGGAGUAACUGUGGUCGACCUGCUCUCAUUCGCCAGAGAUCUGGAGGCCCAGACAGACCUCAUGCCCAGAGGCGUUCUGCAGACCGCUCUGAAAGGCCACGCCGGAACUCUGCGGCAGAUCCACAGCCAACAGAUCAUCUCCAUGGAGCAGGCCAUGAGUGCGUUGAACCAGAGUAUGAGGUUCCUGGAGAGAACAGCCACAGACCUGCCAAACAAAGUUUUAGCAGUUCUUGAUGCUAUUGAAGCUGCCCAGUACCUCAUCUCCCAGAAUGCAACAAAUUUAAUCAAUCGGGAAACGGGAAAGUACAAGGCGACCAUUGUUGGCUACUUCCAUCAAUACAUAGAAUGGGUCAAAACAUCAUUGGCUUUGGAGGUCGCGCCAUGCAAGCCCUUCAGCAACAUGCUGGACACGGCGGAAAUCAUUGCUUGCAGUUUCUUGGUCGACUCCAUGAACACAUUCUGGAUGGGCCUUGGCUGCAGCACUCUCUUUUUGUUCCCCAGCAUCAUCCUCGCAGUGAAACUAGCCAAGUACUACCGCAGGAUGGACACAGAGGAUGUUUACGAUGACAUUGAGACAAUUCCCAUGAAAACUAUGGAAAUUGGUAAUAAUGGUUAUCAUAGUGAGAACCCACAAGGUAUCCCAAAUCCUAUGAUGACAAGCGUCCCUACAUAUGACACUAUGAACAGGUUCCCGCGGGCCUCGGCUCCUCCGAGGCACAUCGACUGGUGACAGAGAGCCGGCUCUUGUUCUGGCUCCUGAAAGUGACCUCGAAAACUGGAACUGAAAGACAUCAUAGUAACUGUUUGCUUCACGAGCCCUCGGACCAGAAGAAGCUCAAUAAAAGCUGGUUUCUUUACCACAGAAGAGGAAAACACAAAGCCCUUUAGGUGUUUUUAAUCUAUAGCUCAACUCAUCCUCCUCAAACAGGCAGAUAACUCAGCCUGCAGGACAUCAAACUAUUCUCCCUCAGCAUCAAUCUGAGCCAGGCUUGUUCUGCUUUUUUCUUUUUUUUUUUUCAAAAGGACUACUGUGUCUGCGUUUACAAGUGUUCAGACACAAAACCAAGCUGAAAAAUACAUUCAGCGGAAGGACGUGACAAUAACUGUGAUGCCUGUUCAUAUCAAUGUACUUGUUAGUGCUUAAGAAGACGGAGGCUGAAAGGUCGCCCGAAGGUCAUGGCGAGCUGCUAGAGGAAAGUUUUUUUUCUCCUGCAUUUAGAAUGGAUGUAUUACAUUUGACAUAUGCUGUUUGGUUGUGAAUGGCACAUCCUCUUUAACUGCAGCAUGUGUGAGUUGGUGGGUCUGAACGUAUUUUUAAAUGGCUGGAUGAUUUGAAAAAAGUGGUAAAAAAAUACAGAAACAGGUUUGUCCCAGGUGGAUUUUUAUCAUUAAUAUAAAGAAAUUUAGCAUGACUUAAAAGAAAAAAGAAAAUGUUUACAAUAUUAAAAAACGUCCAGAUGUCUUUGCUGGUUUUUGAACGGAUUGCAAAUGACUGGUUGCCUUUCAGAAGUUUGUUUCAUGCAGUCUUUUUUGACAGAUAUGCUCCUUCCCCUCAAUGAUGCAAUGACAAAAUUCACCAAUUCAUUUGUGGUAAAAUGUUUUUUUCCCUUAUAUUUGCCUAUUGAUUUUUUUUUCCUUAACUUUUGUCAUCUACUUUUGUGUCAGAUCUUUAUUUCCUACAUUUCCCAGAAUGCAUUUAAACAAUCAAAGAAAUCAUAAAAAGUGUGGGAACAUUCAUCAUCAAAGCCUUACAUUACUUGUUGCUAGAUUCUAGUCAACUAAGGCUGAUGUCAAUAUGGUUCCUUUAAGGGACAGAGUGUUUUUACGCUAAAUCAUGACUACGUUUUUUUGUCUAGUAAUUCUUUAAAAUUAACAAUUUAUGCUGCAGCCCCUCUUCACAAGUUGUGUUUGUCAAUGGCUGGAAAGAAGUUUAACCAAAGAGUGAUUUCCGCUGCAUAGAUUCAAUGAUUGGUUAUUGACACCUGACAUCUUAAAAAUAUUUUAUCUAUUUGGAACAGAAAUAAGUUUUUGAGCUUUCUUUCCGGUCUCUUAAACAUAUUUGGAGAUUUCUGAUUUAUAUUUGGACCAUUUAAGGAGUUCCAGUUUGGACAACACUGAUUUUAGACAGCUAAAAAGCACAUUGUAGCUGUAAUGGAAAUAUCUGACCACAACACCCUGCCAUCAAACUUUGGGCAUUUAUAACAGGAGAACUAUCAAUUCACCGCCAAACGAAAAAAAUCAAUCAAAACAAAUGCAUCUCCAAAUACCAUUUUACCAAUAACUUAAGUAUUUGAGUUGGAUUUUCACUUAAAUUUACAUAUUCAGAGCAUAAGUUUAAGAUUUUUCCUGAACAAACAACACAAACUAUCAUGUUAAGUUCACUAAUGUGACAUUUUUACUGAGAUCCUUCUUGCUUUCAUAGUAAUGAUACGUCUAAAGUGGAGAAAUACUUUCUCAAGCCAAAUUGUUUUUUUUAACUGUAGGUCUCAGGUCUAUCAGUAAUGUGCUUAUUUUGCUUCUGCUUUUUAAAAACCCCACAAUAGCUAUGGAUACAUUUUAAAAAAACAUAUACGAAAGGAGUGAAUGUAUUCAAGAGCUAUCUUAUAUUUUGUAUUAUUUGAGGAUGUUGGCCGAGGAAUAUGCUGAACUCUUAUCACUAAAGCAAUGGGCGAGCCAAUCUGUUCAUCCCACCCCUUUGCCUCCAUGUUUACAGGUUAGAUUUAGACAAUCCAUUCAUGGGACAAUUCAAAAAGUAGGAAACCAGUAGAAUGCUCAAUGGUUUACACAGUUAAUGGUGUUGAUGCAUUGUAAAAAAAAAAAUGUCCAUCUUAACAUUGAAAGAUGUAUUUAGCUAAUUGUCUCUGAAUAAGCUAUCAUAUCUUGCAGUAUCAUAUGUAACUUUACAGUACUAAAUAUAUGAUGUGAAAAAUGUCAACAAAAUGAAAUAAAUGUACAUGUAAAUGUAUUUUCUGGGAUUCUUUAGAAAAAGCUGACACGAUUUUGUAGUAACUUUGAUGCUAGCUUUUGAUCCCACACUAUUAGCAUCAAAGUUGAGCCACUUGAUCCAUAAAAAACAACAAAUUAGAAUGAAAACUACAGAAAAUAUGUAAUCUCUUGAACCUUAUUUACUUUUGUUUUCAUUUAUUUAAUAUUACAUCACAUUGACAAACUAAUUUCAUUAAUCAAUAGGACCAAUUUAAUCAUAUAAUAACUUCAGAUAAAAGAUCUGGCCACACAUAGGCCUGAGCUUGUUCGCUAGUAGUGACAGGUAGAACGUUAGCUGUCUGCUGUAUGUUAUAUAUACUUGUACAUACAGUAGUACUUCAUAGGAUUACUACAGUAUACGGAGAAGUAGUCUGUCUACCCGUGAUCUGGAUAAAGUUUAACGUGGAGUUAAUUUAAAAAGGCUUUGGUUAGCAUAACGUUAGAUGACAGUUUUUAAAAACAUUUUUCUUGUUAAGAUGGACAUUUUUGAAGAAUAAGUAUGCUCACUUCUAAGGACUAUCAUUCUUGCCUGCUAGCAUCUGGAUGUGACCCAUCUUGGGAGAAAAGCGGUCUGAUUUUAUUUUUAAGUGCUUAAAAUAGUUAUUGUGUAUCCGAACGGUCAGGACAGACACAUCGGUAACUGGUUUGACCUGCGAUGCUCCAACGUUGGGCACUGAUGGAGCCAUAGGAACGUCCUAUGUGGUGGCGAAAAGA